rnacentral:rRNA from 1 species
AGUAGCGUGAAGGANGACUGCCCUAUGGGUUGUAAACUUCUUUUAUAAAGGAAUAAAGUCGGGUAUGCAUACCCGUUUGCAUGUACUUUAUGAAUAAGGAUCGGCUAACUCCGUGCCAGCAGCCGCGGUAAUACGGAGGAUCCGAGCGUUAUCCGGAUUUAUUGGGUUUAAAGGGAGCGUAGAUGGAUGUUUAAGUCAGUUGUGAAAGUUUGCGGCUCAACCGUAAAAUUGCAGUUGAUACUGGAUGUCUUGAGUGCAGUUGAGGCAGGCGGAAUUCGUGGUGUAGCGGUGAAAUGCUUAGAUAUCACGAAGAACUCCGAUUGCGAAGGCAGCCUGCUAAGCUGCAACUGACAUUGAGGCUCGAAAGUGUGGGUAUCAAACAGGAUUAGAUACCCUGGUAGUCCACACGGUAAACGAUGAAUACUCGCUGUUUGCGAUAUACGGCAAGCGGCCAAGCGAAAGCGUUAAGUAUUCCACCUGGGGAGUACGCCGGCAACGGUGAAACUCAAAGGAAUUGACGGGGGCCCGCACAAGCGGAGGAACAUGUGGUUUAAUUCGAUGAUACGCGAGGAACCUUACCCGGGCUUAAAUUGCACUCGAAUGAUCCGGAAACGGUUCAGCUAGCAAUAGCGAGUGUGAAGGUGCUGCAUGGUUGUCGUCAGCUCGUGCCGUGAGGUGUCGGCUUAAGUGCCAUAACGAGCGCAACCCUUGUUGUCAGUUACUAACAGGUGAUGCUGAGGACUCUGACAAGACUGCCAUCGUAAGAUGUGAGGAAGGUGGGGAUGACGUCAAAUCAGCACGGCCCUUACGUCCGGGGCUACACACGUGUUACAAUGGGGGGUACAGAGGGCCGCUACCACGCGAGUGGAUGCCAAUCCCUAAAACCCCUCUCAGUUCGGACUGGAGUCUGCAACCCGACUCCACGAAGCUGGAUUCGCUAGUAAUCGCGCAUCAGCCACGGCGCGGUGAAUACGUUCCCGGGCCUUGUACACACCGCCCGUCAAGCCAUGGGAGCCGGGGGUACCUGAAGUGCGUAACCGCGAGGAUCGCCCUAGGGUAAAACUGGUGACUGGGGCUAAGUCUAACCAAGGUAA